CUGCCCUCAUGCAUGAACGCUGGCGCGUGCCUAAUACAUGACAAGUCUUAACGGUAGGUUGUAGCAAUACGACCUUAAUGGCGAACGGGUGAGUAACGCGUUGGUGACCUGCCCCGAAAUGUGGGAUAACAGCUCGAAAGGGCUGCUAAUACCCCAUGUGAUCCCCCGGAUUAUAGGCCGGGUGAUUAAAGGCGAAAGUCCUUCGGAGGGCCUGCGUCCCAUCAGCUAUUGGUAGGGUAAUGGCCUACCAAGGCGAUGACGGGUAGGGGACCUGAGAGGGUGGCCCCCCACAAUGGAACUGAAACACGGUCCAUACACCUACGGGUGGCAGCAGUAGGGAAUAUUGGUUAAUGGGCGAAAGCCUGAACCAGCAACGCCGCGUGCGCGAUGAAGGCCUUCGGGUUGUAAAGCGCUUUUUGAGGGGAAGAGGAAGGACGGUACCCUCAGAAUAAGUCUCUGCUAACUACGUGCCAGCAGCCGCGGUAACACGUAGGAGACCAGCGUUAUCCGGAUUUACUGGGCGUAAAGCGCGUGCAGGCGGUCCAGCAAGUUGGAUGUGAAAGCUCCCGGCUUAACUGGGAGAGGUCGUUCAAUACUACUGGACUUGAGAGUGGUAGAGGGAGGUGGAAUUCCGGGUGUAGUGGUGAAAUGCGUAGAUAUCCGGAGGAACACCAGUGGCGAAAGCGGCCUCCUGGACCACUUCUGACGCUCAGACGCGAAAGCUAGGGUAGCGAACGGGAUUAGAGACCCCGGUAGUCCUAGCCGUAAACGAUGUAGACUUGGCGUUGGUGGGUUCAAAUCCAUCAGUGCCGAAGCUAACGCGAUAAGUCUACCGCCUGGGGACUACGGCCGCAAGGUUAAAACUCAAAGGAAUUGACGGGGCCCCGCACAAGCAGCGGAGCGUGUGGUUUAAUUCGAUGAUACACGAAGAACCUUACCAGGGUGACAUGCAAGUGGUAGGGAUCCGAAAGGUGACCGACCCUUCGGGAGCUG
rnacentral:rRNA from 1 species